GUGAGUUGAUUUUGAGGAUAUAUGGAUGAUACACAAUCUUAAAAUUAAAGGAAAACAACACCAUAAGGCUUGGGAUGGAAGACAUGUGCAAGACCUUGAGUUAUACAUCAAAAGUGCAAUUUUCAGUGAGGGUAUGGGAAUAGCCCCGCGCCGCACUCCACUCUCCCUGAGAAUAAGAAAGGCGGAACUCCACUCUAUCUCUUGCAGCAAGCCACGCUAUGCGGAACUCUCUCGUAUGGGCAAAGCAACGCAGCGCACACCCUGUCCCAUACACGGUAAAAAUCCCUCCACUAUAAAUAGGGCACUUGUACUUUGUUAGACACCUUGGACGUCUUGGAUCUUUGGAGAGGGG
rnacentral:lncRNA from 1 species